UACGAAGGGGGGCUAGCGUUGUUCGGAAUUACUGGGCGUAAAGCGCACGUAGGCGGAUCGGUCAGUUAGGGGUGAAAUCCCAGAGCUCAACUCUGGAACUGCCUUUAAUACUGCCGAUCUCGAGUCCGGAAGAGGUGAGUGGAAUUCCGAGUGUAGAGGUGAAAUUCGUAGAUAUUCGGAGGAACACCAGUGGCGAAGGCGGCUCACUGGUCCGGUACUGACGCUGAGGUGCGAAAGCGUGGGGAGCAAACAGGG
rnacentral:rRNA from 1 species